rnacentral:miRNA from 1 species
CUCAAAGUGGUGCGAGAGUCUAAGGGAGAGCAUGCUUUCGAGGCUUUUACCCAGGAUAGGGAGAAGUACGAUCGGACGGUUUUGAG